rnacentral:antisense_RNA from 1 species
CUUCACCGAGCCGACCAGCAGCGGGCGUCCGUGCGCCCGGUCCCGGCCGUAGGCGGCGAGCAGGGCCCCCGCCUC